rnacentral:rRNA from 1 species
UACGUAGGGUGCGAGCGUUGUCCGGAAUUAUUGGGCGUAAAGAGCUUGUAGGCGGUCUGUCGCGUCUGCUGUGAAAAUCCGGGGCUCAACCCCGGACUUGCAGUGGGUACGGGCAGACUAGAGUGUGGUAGGGGAGACUGGAAUUCCUGGUGUAGCGGUGAAAUGCGCAGAUAUCAGGAGGAACACCAAUGGCGAAAGCAGGCCGCUGGGCCGCUACUGACACUGAGAAACGAAAGCAUGGGGAGCGAAUAGG